rnacentral:pre_miRNA from 1 species
GCAAAUUGCAGGUUUGUGCGUGAAUCUAAUUCAUGAAAGAGAUUUUGGAGGACUUUCAUUUUCUUUUCUAUUCCAUCUCCGUAUUAGAUUCACGCACAAACUUGUCAUUUUCCU